rnacentral:rRNA from 1 species
UCCGUAGGCGGUGUAGCAAGUCGAUAGUGAAAUCUCUGGGCUUAACCCAGAGGCUGCUAACGAAACUGCUGUGCUAGAGUGUGAGAGAGGCGAGUGGAAUUACGGGUGUAGCGGUGAAAUGCGUAGAUAUCCGUAGGAACAUCCGAGGCGAAGGCGGCUCGCUGGAUCACAACUGACGCUGAGGGACAAAGCUAGGGGAGCAAACA